GAACAAUCUUAAGGAAGUUCAGGUAAUUUUUUUUUUUUCUUUGCUAUAAGUGUGGGUAGGGUAUAUGGUUUGGUUUGGAUUUUUGUUUGGAGAAGGGGGAAUUGGCUUGAAGGUUUUUUGUUUGUUUGUUUGUUUGUUUUGUAUCAGGGAUUGAACCCAGGGGCACUUGACCACUGAGCCACAUCCCCAGCCUUGAGACAGGGUCUCACUAAGUUGCUUAGGGCCUUGCUUAAUUGCUGAGGCUGGCUUUGAAUUUGGAGAUCCUCCUGCCUCAGCCUCCCAAGCCACUGGGAUUACAGGCCUGUGCCACCAUGCCUGGCUGGCUUGAAAGUUCUGAAUCCCCAGGAAUUCUGGAGAAAUCGGUCCAUGUUUAUAGUUGUUUAUUUGAUGCUGGGAAUUGAACCUGAGUUUUUAUUUUUUAGAAUGGUUUUAAGUUCACUGCAAAAUUGAGCAGCAAGUAGAGUUUCAGUAUACCCCUUUCAGAAUAAGGUGUGGAUAAAGAGCAUAGAUAUUUGCAUGAAUUCACUUCCUGAAAGAGAUGUAUACCACCUCACACAUAGCCUCCCCAACCAUCAACAACAGAAUUGACAUAUCACCCAGUGCAUAUUUGACAUUAGGGUUCACUCUGUUAUGUUUGUACUUACAAGUGCUUCAUAAACAUGAUCUUCGUAAUGGUACCAUGUUGUAAGACAAACUCCUAAACCUAGUGUCCAGAGUGAGUUACAUACAAGGAAUUCAGAGAAUUAAGACUGAAAUAGUUUUUUACUAACAAGUCUGCAUCUGUUGUCAUUAUAAAAUGACCCACAAGCUGGCAUGGUACCCAUAUGUUUCAUUCCUCUUUUUUAUACCCCUAAGUUGUUUUUUGGUUUUUUUUUUCCCCCCCCAGUGCCCAGUACUAGGGAUUGAACCCACACACACUCUACCACUGUUUUUAUUUUCAGAUGGGAUCUCCCUAAGUUGCUAGGCUGGUCUAGUAAAUAUGGUCUUCCUGACAGUCUCCCUAGUUGCUGAAAUUAGAUUGCACUUGGUCAAAGGCUAACUUUAUAAACAAUAGAUUUGAGAGUUUUUUAUACUUCUUUGAGGUAUAAUACGAUUAAUCUAAUUUCAUUAUUUCUUUCAGAGUGAAUCACGAAGUGUACCAUUCAAAUGUACCUGCAGUUUUUGCGAAUAUCAUGGAUGGGAUCCUUCUGAGAAUGCUAGAAUAGGGUAUGAUUAGGACACAGAGUCAAUAUAGGCGUAAAUUGUACUUGUUCUUCAUGAUGGUAAUUUUAGGCACACUUUUCUAUGCUUAGACUGCAUACCAAUGAUUUUGAAUAGCUUAUGUAUGAGUUCUGUGAUGUCUUUAUUCUUUUGCAUCCUUUUUUUUUUUUUUUUUGGUGUUAGGGAUCCCUUCAUGCCUUAAUGCCAGUAAUUUAUAAGGAAUCUGAGCAGUUAAAAUGUGCAUAAAUGAUUUCAAUAUACUUUAGUUUUACUUUUCUGUUUGACUCAAAGAAGUACCAAUAGGUCUCAAGUCUUCCUGGAGAUUUGAAAAGCCUGAAAUCUGAAAUAAAACUCAGGAACUGGAAGAGAUGUAAAGAGAAUAUUGGAUAGUUUGAUUAGAGUGUAAUAAUUAGAGUAGAUAAUUAGAUUUUCUGGUUUUCAAAAAUUUGAGUUGCAGUAAAAAGAAAUUUUGAUGUGCUGUUUUAAUUUUCAGUAGCAAAUAAAUGU
rnacentral:lncRNA from 1 species